CCUACGGGUGGCAGCAGUGGGGAAUAUUGCACAAUGGGGGGAACCCUGAUGCAGCGACGCCGCGUGAGUGAAGAAGUAUCUCGGUAUGUAAAGCUCUAUCAGCAGGGAAGAAAAUGACGGUACCUGACUAAGAAGCCCCGGCUAACUACGUGCCAGCAGCCGCGGUAAUCCGUAGGGGGCAAGCGUUAUCCGGAUUUACUGGGUGUAAAGGGAGCGCAGACGGCUUUGCAAGUCUGGAGUGAAAGUCCGGGGCCCAACCCCCGGACUGCUCUGGAAACUGGGAGGCUGGAGUGCAGGAGAGGUAAGCGGAAUUCCUAGUGUAGCGGUGAAAUGCGUAGAUAUUAGGAGGAACACCAGUGGCGAAGGCGGCUUACUGGACUGCAACUGACGUUGAGGCUCGAAAGCGUGGGGAGCAAACAGGAUUAGAUACCCCAGUAGUC
rnacentral:rRNA from 1 species